rnacentral:sRNA from 1 species
ACAACAUGCUUUGCUUUCAGAGGAUGUUACUAAACAUAUUUUAUAUAUUUCACACACGGCCUGGAAUACAAAUAACCCCUAUGGAGUACUUCAGGUUUUAAACUCAAUGUUUCAAAAUAUACCAGAGUUUAUUAAGGCCUUCUUAUACAGUAAUAACAACAAUUAUUACUCCUACCCCUACAACUAUCUAUACCAUUCUGAAUAUGAAAUCUGGCUUCGGAAAGAUGUUGAUGACAAACUACUCAGAAAAAUUGCAGAAACAAUGGUUUUAUCUCAUGAAAAGCUUCAAGGAAACCUAACUGGACCAUUGUAUUUGUA